GAUGAAGAACGCAGCGAAAUGCGAUAAGUAGUGUGAAUUGCAGAAGUACCGUGAAUCAUCGAAUCUUUGAACGCAAAUAGCACUCUCUGGUAUUCCGGGGAGUAUGCCUGUUUGAGGGUCGCUUAACAAACCAUCGAUUUCGUUGCUUUUUUUUUAAAGUGAUGUUUAUCGGAUUUGAGCCGUCUUUUUUUUUAUAUUUAAGUGGCUUAAAAUUGAUUUUUUUGGUACGAUCGAAGCGUAUUUUUAUGAUCAAUUUUUGGUUAAAGAAACGCACACGUACCGUUAUUUAUAUGAUGUAAUACGUUUGACUAUUGGAUUUAGUUCAUUCGUAUACGAUAUCUUUCAAUAUUUGACCUCAAAUCAGGUAAGAACACCCGCUGAACUUAAGCAUAUCAAUAAGCGGAGGA
rnacentral:misc_RNA from 1 species